AGGUGGCCAAAGUGGAGUAUGUCAGGAAGAAGCCAAAAUUGAAAGAGGUCCAGGUGAGGUUAGAGGAACACCUGGAGUGUGCAUGUGCGACCUCCAACCUGAACCCAGACCAUCGGGAGGAGGAGACGGAUGUGAGGUGAGAUGAGCCGGCCGCCCUCUCCCGGGACACGGAUGUACGUGGCGUGUGACAUUCCUGAACAUACUAUGUAUGGUGCUUCAUUGCCAAUGUGCGUGCGGUCUUUGUUCUCCUCCGUGAAAAACUGUGUCCGAGGACAAAGAGACAGUGUCCGUUUGUUCAGUGUGACAUCAAAGCAAGUACUGUAGCACUCGGAGGGACAGUGAGAAAGCUUCCUUGUCACAGAGAGCGAAAACAAAACCACAAAAAAGAAAAAAACAAAAAAAAAAACAAAAAAAAAAUUAAAAAAAAAAAAACAAACAACAAACCACAACCCAACAACAAAAAACCCCACCAGAAGAAACAGAGGCUGAAGCAGGCAGUGGAAGGACCGCCCUGCAGGACUGACCCUCGAGUGGGGGCUGAAGUUGGCCACCACCCUCGAUUCUGCCCGUGGGCACAGGUGCUUUUCGCCGAGGACGCCUGGAGCUGCCUGGGAUGCUGCCUGCCAGCUCUGCCAGGCACAGGAGCUGAGCAACUGGGGGAUGGAUGCCCACGGGCCUGGAUGCCACCACCUCGCUUGAGUCUGCCUAGGACCUUCCUGAUGGCCUUACGUGGAAUUUCUUUUUCCUUUUCCUUUUUAUUUUAUUUUAUUUUAUUUACACCAUGAAGUGAUUUAGCUUCUCCUUUUUAUUCUCUGCCUAGCUUUUUUUUUUUUUUUAUCUCUUGGAUGACAUUUUCGUUGAUAACACACACGAGGCUGCUGUAAGUUGGGACAGCGAGACGGUUAUUUUUUUCCUAGCCAAACUAAUGAGGUGUAUUAAAAUAAACAUGAUAUACCUACCUAUACAUCA